GACGAACCGUCCAAACGUUGUUCGGAAUCACUGGGCUUAAAGGGCGCGUAGGCGGGCUGCCAAGUCAGGGGUGAAAUCCCACGGCUCAACCGUGGAAGUGCCUCUGAUACUGGCGGCCUCGAGGGAGGUAGGGGCGUGCGGAACUUCCGGUGGAGCGGUGAAAUGCGUAGAUAUCGGAAGGAACACCGGUGGCGAAAGCGGCGCGCUGGACCUCUACUGACGCUGAGGUGCGAAAGCGUGGGGAGCAAACAGG
rnacentral:rRNA from 1 species